rnacentral:lncRNA from 1 species
GUGUUGCAUCAGCCAACGGGCCCUAAGGAAGCUGAAUAAUGCCUCAGGCUUCCUGCCACCCUGCAGGCCGGGAAGUUGGCAGGUGUGGCGGGUGGGGUGAGGGGUCCGAGUCCCAUGGCCUAGGACGUUCAUUUCUCCGAGGCUCGGUCUCUCCUCUGGUGGGACCAUGUCUCGAAGAGCCCCUGGCUUGGCUUCUGGAGCUGGCGGCCAGAGCCACCAGGAAGAUCAAGGAGCCAGGGCCACCCUCACGUUGCCUAGGCAACAGCAUCCGUGAUCAGACUGUAAGGCAACUGGGACCCAUGCGUGCUCCCCGGGGGAGGCUGCAGGUUCACGUCGGUGUCCGGGUAUCUUACAGAAUGUUCUUAAUCUUCACGUGCUUCUUCUGAGAUCAGUGAUAAAGAAGACACGGAUACAGCAAGAAGGAAGGAGGCCCUGUGCACGACACUAAGAUGAGUGACGCCACAGCACGGACCUUUGCUCAAGAUCCGUCAGCAGGAAAUACCCCCCAAGUGCCGAGAGUGCUGGCAUGCAGCAGAGAAGGCUGUAAGUGACUGUGAGGUUUCCUUCAUUAUACUCAUCUGCAUUUUCCAAAUUUUGAAAAUGAGUAUAUAUUAAUUACACACUAAAAAA